rnacentral:rRNA from 1 species
CAUCUAAAGCAGUUCUAGAUACGCCGGGCUCACGCAUAUUCACUCAUUAGCUUCGCCGUUGAAAUAUGUUAUCAUUAUGUUGACAAGUCUGACUGUUCAACAUGUCUUAUGUUAUAUCACCUCGGGUGGGGACCAACUAUAAAUUAGUACGAGAGCAGGAGUAGCUGUUAAGGCAGAGCAGAAGGGAGGGGUAGGUAUAAGAGAAAGAGAGGCAGCGGUAACAAAGAGGAGUUCAAGAACGGCGUCAAAAGGAGAGACUAUACUUAGGUACUCAUCUCACCUUCGCCUCAUCUAGAACAAUUUAUGAUCCAAUAUUAAUAAUAGGAGGUUUAAACGUAGACUAAACUUCGGUACUUCGUUGGAAUCGGUUUCAGGGUACACUAACCUCCGCCCUUAGUUUCAUUGAUGACGUACGCAAACAUGGUCUAGAAUAGGCCACUAGAUAGGUAACAGCCGACUUUCUUCGUUUAUUCCAAUUAUACCUUUAACUCUCCCUGUCACACGCUCCGUCAAAAUACCUUGAUGAUUUGUACCAACUCGUCGGUUACAGUUUAAAGUUAGUUGUCUCGUGACAUUUGAGUCAUGGACUUCUUUCAAGUACAAUAAGACUAUCUGGAAUAACGAGUCUUCUGUUACUACAUGAAAGGUCUGGAUUGAAUUCCCAACUGUGAAUACUAAUACAGCUACUGAGUUUACUUCAUCUCAGUGCAGAUGUUACAUAGUUUCUGGGCAAGCUUGAAGGUCUAUUCUACAGAUCCGGACUUUUAGAUCUACUCGUGAUGGAUAAAAGACGUAUGUUACAAGUCUGACUUCUCAGUCUAAGCUUACUUUCUAUGUACCUUCCUCCUGGUCAACCUCGACACCUUGUGCCUUAAUCUUCAAAAACACUUCUGUGAAGACAAGUUUACAAUUCCGGCCAACAACCAUACUUCAAAAGUAGAUAACGUCUUCGUAUACUGAAGAUGUUAUGAAUAAGAACCCACGAACCAAAGUCAUAAGCGUUACCACUAUUAAUAUAGUGCUAAGCGUGAGCGCAUGUCUGUUACGUCCUUAAGUGAACGGUUUCUCGUCCGAAGUCUGUUCUUAUGAUUUAUACGUUGAUGAUCUACACCAACGUUCCGUUGUGAGUCCAAUGUAGAGUUACUUUUAAGUUUUACCAUACAGUUUCAAAAAGCCCUCCUUGUGUUGGUACGGGAACACCUUAGAACGUCGCUCUUCUUCGUGGACGUAAGUGUAGUUGUAUAACUGUUCGGUUAGUCUCUGAAUUAUUUCUUAGAAGCUCUCUUGUUGCAUAGUGAUUGUUCCCAAUUAAGAUAUCAACGACCAAAAAUACCUAGUUGUUUCUUUCAAGGUAAGACAUUCGCCUUCAAUGCAUGACAAACAAGUGUCUAACGAUCACUUUGCGAAGUCCUGCUGUAUCGAUUUUGUGAUCUCUUGAAGGCACUAUACUAUCGUUACCUGCUAUCUAAACGAAAGACACGUGUCCACCUACUACUGUUAUCCGAUUUCAGUGAUUACACCUGAUGACCUUCCUCAUCUAGUAAUAUAUUAGUGAAACCUCUCACGUUAUUGAAAACUGUGGUGCAUACCUUGUUUGUAGAUGUUUUACGGUAAACCAUACAAACAUCCUCAAUCAUUGGUGAAACUCUCACAUUAGAAGCGACCUCAUAAGAACUGAUUACUCUUCCUUCUCUUAAAGGCAACCCGAAAAUUCGUUAAACAACGAUACUACCCACCCUUUGGUGGUCAAUGAUAAGAAUGUCUAGUCCGAUCCCGGUAACCUUUACGUCAGUACCGUCUCGAAGGAUUACGUUGUGUAUCUACCACGUUUACCGUGCAAGACUUCUCCCGAGUACUUGAAGAACCACAACAAAUGUCUUUAGUGUUUUGGAAACGACUACUAAAGGUAUUCGAUCAUUUAGUGUACGAUUGUUAUGUCCUCAAACUUCUACGUACCUUAAAACAAUGCCAUUUCAUACCAAAUGUCCUCGUAGGAAAGUACUGAUCUCGCAUGCUCACAUCCGUGUUUACCCGGUUUAGUAUGAAAUCAUUUCAUAAGACACGAUCUUACACAUGGUGAGUUGCAUACACAUCGUGAGUUGCAUCACUUACACGUUUGUACUACGACUUCUAUGUAUGACAUACAUUAAGAAGUUAUUUACGUAAGUAAUGUGUCAUGUGAUUUGACUAUCUGCUAGCCCUCUCAACACUGCGUCUUCGACUUUCCUUCUUGUUUGUCUUUUAUAAUUUCCAGGUAAAACCUAUAGGGUACCUCUUCGUACGAAGACAAUAGAUAUGUGGUUUCCAAAUAUUAGAUAAGUUCUUCCUCGAGUAAUUCAGAUGUAGUAUGGAACACGAAGGAUCGGUACUCCUUGUAUGAAAACAACACUUCGUGCAGGUCCGGCUCAGAUCCCUUAACACCAGAUUUCAUUAAAUGUUUUAGUUUCAUCUACUCAGUUAACCUAUAAUGUGUACACUUACACCUGAACUGCUUGUAAAACCACAAGAAACAUCGGUGCAGGAUCGCUAAAAACACUUGGCUCCACAGACGUUUUAAGGUCUAACAGUGUAUUACUUCGCCACCUGUUUCGUUCGAUCCAGUAGAUGAAAGUCGUUGUUCAACCUCUUUAUAUAGCCGCUGUGAUUGCUCCUUAGCUCUAGUAAAUCCGUGGUCGAUAAUAUAAAGCGCCGUUAUUUAUAUCAAUUACUUCGACUCUAGCUAGGUCUACGUAAACGUUAACGUUUCAGAUUAAAAUGAGCAACGUUCUUCCUUAAUGUCCUCGUGUCUGAAAGUUUCUGUUGAUGUACGGUCCAUCCUAUACCUAGUUACGGACUUCUACUUCAUUCAUGUGUAAGACCACAAGUUGACCUUCCGUUACUUCAAUCACUUAGUACACAAGUUUAUCAACUAUGGUGUUUUUUGUAAUGAUAAGGUCAAAGAAGUUAAGAACGUGGACGAUAUUACUUCUCCUUACCAUCUGGAAGGUUAUUUUCCAUGUACAGAUCGUACCUUCGUUUGUAGUUCUUCUUCUUUGCACCCUUUUUUGGUCUGGGUUUCUCGUUUGUUCGACCACCACACUACCCACAACAGGUCAGGUCCAAAACGUCGUUUACAGCUAGCGGUUGUGUGUGAUAGUUUCUAACGGGCGUCGAGAUAAAUGGAAUUACAAGAAACAAACGGAAUACACCAGGUUUCAUAAUAUGAUUACUUAACAGAUGAGUAAUCUUUGAACAUAGAUACUAACCGACUUGAUUCAAUACAGCAGACUUACACUCAUGAAUAUUUAAACAAAAAGGGAUAUUAGAAGAAUUAAACUGAACCUACUGAUAGUGCUAACUAAUUCUAAACUACCAUUUUAUCUUAAAAUAUAAUUGAAGUUUUACUUACCAACAUGACAAAUUUAAACUAUAAGUAAAAUAUAAACUAAAAAACCUUUUUGAAACUUUAAACAUAGUAACAAUUAUAAAAACUUGAUUCGGUUUAGAAUCUUUAAUUACCAUGGGCACAAUCUUUCUACACUUAGGUGUAAAAGUGGUAAAUCUGCAAAAAAUAAAAAAUAACUAAAAUAAAGUACGUUGCACAAGGAGAUUAAACUUUAUUGAUGAUCAAUCUUGGAUAUAAUUGUAAGUGUAGUGAAUAAGUUUCCAAAACGUGCUAUACAUCGAUUAAUUGUAUCUUCCAGUCCAUAUAAUGUUUCUAUAUAAUUUGAAUUACGAUAAAACAACACUAAACAACAAACUUGCUAAACAGUAUUAAUUCCAACAGCACUAAUGGUUUAAACAUUCAUACGAGAUCACGUUAAUUUAUAAAUAUAACUUGUUAAUUACUAAAUUUAUUAGUAAACAAUACAGAUAGAGUAUGCACAUUGAGUAAAACUUUGAAUUUUAAGUAACAGCCUACUAAAACAUAAUACGUAGAUGAAAUAGAUAAAUUUUUAGUGCUAUUACUUAAUAGAACAGUAAUGACCAAAGCAUAUGUAAGACGAAGUCAUAAAACUAAUACAUUAAUACUCAUUACUUUGUGAAUUAGUAUAUGUAAUACUACCUAAGAAAUUUAAAAAGUAACAAUUAUCGACACAUAAUAUUAAAUAUAAAGUAAAUUCUAAUCACUGUAUUACUACAUCAAAGUUAUAAAGUGAGGAUAAAUGAAGUAAAAGUGAAUGGUACAAAUAUCAACAUUUCCAGUUUACUCGUAUAUUAUCGUGAAAGUUAAACGUGAAUAGUAUUUAGCUCAAAAUCCCAGUAUAAGGAAUACUUUCUAAAACUUGAUUUAACAAUACUAAAUACAAUGAAUUUCCAUUACAUGACUUCAAUCUCUAUACCGUAAAAUAAAAACAUAUUCAAUAUUGGAACUGAAUUACUAUAAAGUUAUUUUAACAUGUAAUGGAUUAUCAAAUACGUUUCGUUUUAUUCAAGUUCUCGACUUCAUCAAAAUAAAUGAAUAUUAAUUGACACAUCACCCCUUAUCAAAACAAAAUUAACGUUUUAUCGUUUCCGUAUCCUUUAUACUAAGUUUAUAUUGUUCGUAUGUUCAUCCUUUUUUAACUAUGUAUGUGAUUUAAGUCUUUUUAUCAUUAUACUUUAUAAAAGGUAUCAAGAAGUCCAUCUAAAUUCUACAAUAUCUUGAUUAUUUAGAGCAGGUCAAAGUUAUAUUAUAUCCUGUAUGUUUAGAGUACGUCUUUAAACUUUAUGUUAUUAAAACAUCCGAAGAAGCAGAGACAAAUAAGGUGAACACGUUAAGUAGAGACGACGACAAGGGGAUUAGUAGUUAACAAAGAUACAUGCUUCACCUUUGUCAAGGUAACAAAGGAAAUUACCUGUUGUCGAGUAUGUUGUUGUUUCCGAACUUCCUGUAAUGUGAAAGGACGUCUUCUUCCUUGUACGUUACCUUAUAAUGCUUCAGCCUGAGGUCAUAUACGGAUGUGGAAAAGCAGAAACUUCACGGUAUGUAGUUGUAAAGAUCAACUUGUUAAGAGGACUAUGUAUUUAGUUUUUGAAGCAUCGACUUACAAGACUUCUCAUGUUCACAUAGGAAGUUAAGUAAAGGACACUGGAGCUACAUGGAACCAAGCAUUACAUAAUAGGUUGUGGACAACAUGUCUUUUAUACUCAUAAUAACUAUUAAUAAAUAAAAUACCUAUACGGUAAGAAAUGUACUUCAUAUGAAUGUGAAGUAAAAGGAGAACGAACGACACAUCAUGGGUUAAACUAUUACAUCGAUCGUACCGACUACUAGAAAAAUCGUAUAAUCAUGGAUCUUCGUGUACUAAUUAACGGUUACCUGGCAACGAAUGAAAUUAAAAGAGUUAUCCACUCAGACACUUGAGACGAAGGUCAGGAGAACGUAAAUUCAAGUCCUAUAGAAGAGAGACUUUGUUUGCCUUACGUUGUCGAUAAAGCCUGUAGGUUGAUCGUUGACAACGACCACUUUCAACUAAACCACCACAAACGUGUAAAAGUUUAAGAGGUGGAUAUAAUCUUGUACAACAAACAUGACGUAAUCAACCACAACAACAACGUAGGUAUAAAGGACUUUCUUUGUUACAUGUCUUACUUACUCGAAUUUUAGAUAUAUAAUUGACCUUUGUUGUAUCCAAUACUGUGGUUUAGUUAAUAUAAUACAUGUCAAGUAGUAUACACUGUGGUUUAUAAUUAUACUUGGUAUCUUGAUCAAAUGAACUGAUAUUAUUCAUGUUUUUUUGUUUAUUAUAUUGAAUAUAGUCACGAGUUAUUACGUGAUAAUCAAGGAUAGAGAAUGGUCAUUUAGGUUAAACUUUGUAAAACGAAGAUCUACUCACUUGAAAAAACCUUCACGGACUUUGUAUUUAACUUUUUUGACAAUGGUACAAAGUCAGUAACGUCGUGAUCAAACAAAAUGAACUCUUCAUGAAUGUUAGUGAUAAUCUUAGUCGAGGUGAUAUAAGUGAAGGUCUUGCGAAUUCUGACAAAGACCUGAACCCACCUGGAAGUCUAACUUGAAGAUUACGACCCGACACCAGUACUUCGGUGAGUUCCAAUAGUAAAUUUUACAAAAGGUUUUCUAACAGAUAGAAACUUCUAUCUAAAAGCGAAGGCCUACAAGGAUUACGUCCCAAUACUUGUACUGGACGGUUUAAUGGUUAACCGACACAUUACCUAAACUUGAGUCAGUAUACAGAAUGUUAGGAUCGUGACACGGUAAAUUCUAGUUAAUAAACUCCUUGCUUAUCGACUAGUUUAUUUAUCACAAUCGUUUAUAUCAAAAGGUUUUUAAGUGUAAAGAAGUUAACAAUCAUUAAGUAUGGAAGAAGCCACAACAAGGAACAUUUAUUCUUAGUUCCAUUGCUAAGUGACCCGCGAAUCGUACUGAACAUAACACAUGACGACGUCCAGACUAACAUUGAUACAAAGCAUAUUUACCUCCAAAGUAGUACCCUUGUGAACGUUCAAAACUACAUGAACGUCGAACAAAUGUUUGUUAUAUAAAAGACAAGAAGUUCCUGAAUUCGACUCUUAGUAUGUUUUUGUUAAUACUACUCAUUCUGUUUAAGUCUCUUUAUAUACACUAUC